GGUGUACUCUUGUGGAGGCUCCAUUAUCAAGAAGAAACUGGAUUCUUACGGCUGCCCACUGCUUCUUCGAUCUAGACACCGGUCUGAGAGCGUCUUCCGUGGAAAUUCGUUACGGGUCUAUUAAUUACUUCUUAGGAACCUCCGUAACGUCAACAGACUUCAUCACGCAUGAAGAUUACGACAACGGAACAUGGGCCAACGACAUCGCGGUGGUGAGACUCCCUGAGCCGCUGCAGUACCAGAGCGACCCAAAUAUUCGACCGAUUUGCCUAGGGUUGGACGAGGACAAUCUCUUCUCCGGGAAGGGUGUGGCUACCGGUUGGGGCCGCCUGUCGUAUGGUAAGGGCGCU